CGCACCUUGCGCCUUUUGGUAUUCCGAAAGGCAUGCCUGUUUGAGUGUCAUGAAAUCUCAAUCCCAUCUGGUUUAUGAUCAGGUGUGGACUUGGACAUGGGCGUCUGCCGGUUACACGGCUCGCCUCAAAUGACUUAGUGGGAUCACUUGCAUCCGUGACAGACGUAAUAAGUUUCGUCUUGUCCCUUGCCUGUGUAAGCCUGCUCACAACCUGCCUUUGCGCAUCUUUUGACUCUGACCUCAAAUCAGGUAGGACUACCCGCUGAACUUAA
rnacentral:misc_RNA from 1 species